GAUGAACGCUAGCGGCAGGCUUAACACAUGCAAGUCGAGGGGUAACAGGGAAGAGCUUGCUUUUCCGCUGACGACCGGCGCACGGGUGAGUAACGCGUAUAGAACCUACCUUUUACAGGGGAAUAGCCCAGAGAAAUUUGGAUUAAUGCCCUAUAGUAUUAUUGAAUGGCAUCAUUUAGUAAUUAAACAUUUAUGGGUAAAAGAUGGCUAUGCGUUCUAUUAGCUAGAUGGUAAGGUAACGGCUUACCAUGGCAACGAUAGAUAGGGGUCCUGAGAGGGAGAUCCCCCACACUGGUACUGAGACACGGACCAGACUCCUACGGGAGGCAGCAGUGAGGAAUAUUGGACAAUGGAGGCAACUCUGAUCCAGCCAUGCCGCGUGCAGGAAGACGGCCCUAUGGGUUGUAAACUGCUUUUAUACGGGAAGAAACCCAACUACGUGUAGUUGGCUGACGGUACCGUAAGAAUAAGCACCGGCUAACUCCGUGCCAGCAGCCGCGGUAAUACGGAGGGUGCAAGCGUUAUCCGGAAUCAUUGGGUUUAAAGGGUCCGUAGGCGGGCUAAUAAGUCAGGGGUGAAAUCCAACAGCUUAACUGUUGAACUGCCUUUGAUACUGUUAGUCUUGAAUUAUAUGGAAGUAGAUAGAAUGUGUAGUGUAGCGGUGAAAUGCUUAGAGAUUACACAGAAUACCGAUUGCGAAGGCAGUCUACUACGUAU
rnacentral:rRNA from 1 species